rnacentral:rRNA from 1 species
GACGAACGCUGGCGGCGUGCUUAACACAUGCAAGUCGAGCGGUAAGGCCCUUUCGGGGGUACACGAGCGGCGAACGGGUGAGUAACACGUGGGUGACCUGCCCUUAGCUCUGGGAUAAGCCUGGGAAACUGGGUCUAAUACCGGAUAUGACUCCAUGACGCAUGUUGUGGGGUGGAAAGCCUUGUGCGGCUAGGGAUGGGCCCGCGGCCUAUCAGCUUGUUGGUGGGGUGANGGCCUACCAAGGCGACGACGGGUAGCCGGCCUGAGAGGGCGGCCGGCCACACUGGGACUGAGACACGGCCCAGACUCCUACGGGAGGCAGCAGUGGGGAAUCUUGCGCAAUGGGCGAAAGCCUGACGCAGCGACGCCGCGUGAGGGAUGACGGCCU